rnacentral:lncRNA from 1 species
UCGGUUGAUUUGUGAUUGUUCUACAUUAUGCAUAUCUAGACAAUGAUGUUUGGUCAUUGUUCUACAAUUAAGACUCCGAUUCAGAUCUCUUAAGCACUAUGAAAUGCUGAAACAGUGCUGAAAAGAGUGCUUCUCAAAUCGCAGCGCACAUAAAUGUUCAAUAACAGAAAUUAGAAUAAAAAUUAAAUGUAUGUUUUAUAGUGUGAACAAUUUCU